rnacentral:rRNA from 1 species
GUAGGGAAUCUUCCACAAUGGGCGAAAGCCUGAUGGAGCAACGCCGCGUGUGUGAUGAAGGGUUUCGGCUCGUAAACACUGUUGUAAGAGAAGAAUGACAUUGAGAGUAACUGUUCAAUGUGUGACGGUAUCUUACCAGAAAGGAACGGCUAAAUACGUGCCAG